AGAGGGGGAGCUUUGACAUUGACUUUCUUUGCUUUGGUUCUGUCCAGCACCUUUUCCCCAUAUUACCGUGUAAAGGAAAUAAAUCCUAGUAAGCGGUCAAUUUUUGUCUUUUGUCGCACCUACAGUUCAUACCUAUUUCACUUCACGGGGAGUUGAGUUGCAGGAGGGUGUUGCGUUCCCUCCACAGAGGCGUGUGUAACACUUACCAUGCUGCGCUUUGGUCCACACCUUCUUCAACAGAUGACCGUUACAGGCCCUUCAUUCCCAAACCUGAAGCCCCAUGUCCCCAGCAGGAAAGACCAGGAGAAAGUGUUGGCUUAACCUCUACUUAAGAUCUGCCACCCCCAGCAGUUCAGCUGCAGUCACAGCAGUCCUCUGCUGUGGUAUUUAAUUUACCAGCUGCACCAGUUCCUACUACACUGGCCGUGGAUGGAGAAACCUUUAAGGAUUCCCAGAUGGAUACAGAUCUGCCAUGCACUCCACCACUGCCCAACAGCCUCACCCAGAAGUGCAUACACUGGGCCUAUCAAGACUGACAAAAGCAGAGAUGGGUGGUUGACAAGGAAAAAUAAAACACAACAUGCACACACACUCUGUCACACACACAUUAUCCCCAAUGUAAAUAAAUUGUAAUUACUUGUUUAUUUUAUGUAUGCUCUGUUUUAUUUUAGGAUUGGAGAUAUCUACGCCUACAUAUCAUUAUCGAUAUCUACAUAAUUACUCUAAAUAUCUAUCCAAUAAAAGUGACUGUUAAUAUUG